GUUGCCGUGUGGGGCCUCAGUGCGUGGGAGAAGCCGAAAAUGGAGAUCUUCCCCCCCCACCAAGAAGGGAAAGGGGAAAAGGGGAAAAAGGUGGCUCUUCCUAUGAAAUUCACACUCUCUGCAGCUGGUUGUGGCCAGAUUUCCCCACUUUCGUCAAUGGACACACGCUGCUGCUAACAUGAGAGCAGAGGAGAGAAAGGACAAAACAGAAUGCGGCAUGAUAUAGUUGCCUGAAGAUAGAUGUCUAAUGCCAUUUGUCACUCUCUAGGAUACCAGAGGUAACUAUAGGGGACUGGCAGCUGGGACACAAAGAUUGUUGGAGGCCCUUGCACUUCUUCAGUGGCAGCUGGAGUGCAGAAGAAAUAAAAUGCUGCUCAUCUUAGAUGAAAGUAACAGGUGAAAGUUGGUUCCAUUUGCACAUGGUAUGAAAAUUCAAAUACUGUAACAUAAAAUAAAUCAUAUAUUGGAAUAUUCAGAUUUUAAUAAAUGAUCUUUUCCAUUCCAAGAGCAAUACUGCUUAUAUUUGUAUCCUAUAAUCAGCCUUAGGAUUUGGAGUUAGUGAAGAAAUUUCUCUCUUAGCCUGUAGCCAUGUGCUUUCUGAUGUUCUUUCAUCCAGCAAUUUUAUUUGUCCUCUUUUGGUCCCAUUUUUAUUCUGUUCUGCAUACUCACACUUUCUGAGUGGAUUGGAUUUCAUUUUCUCAGCUCUUAUCCCAGUAGAUUUCUUUUCAAAAUACAGGCAUAGCUCUGAGAAAAUGGCUUGGGAAGGAGGAUCCCUGGGGAGAAGGCCUCAGGGGAAAUGAAACAGCUCAGCUUAAACGUAACAAUGGGUCGGUCACAGGAUUGGGAUGAAUGCAGUUAAGUGUGCUAGGUUUGUAUUGUAGUUUCUUGAACAGCAAUUCUAAUUUCCCUGUACUAAAUAAUCAUACUUCAAACCUGUCUAAAAGAAUUUUUUUAAUUAAUCAAUAUGAGAAAGAUAUUUGAACUUUAGGUUAAAAAAAGUUUUUAUUUCACUCAAUAAUACAGUUCUAUUUACUGGCCAUUUGGGCUAAAUUUCAAAAAACUUUGCACCCCAAAAAAAUAUCUAGUCCUAGGGUAUUAAAGCAGCAUAUUUUAUGGUUGACAGCUGAGCUGGUUGAUGAUAGCUGAAGAAAAACAAGUUUUGCUAACUGGAAAGAUUAUUACUGAAGGGCACACUAGUGAGAUGGCAAAAUCAAAUACAGAUUGUGCCUUUAGCUGUUGGGAUUAUAAUAUAUGUGACUGUGAAAUCUACAUAUGCAACCUGAUGGUUUUUCUUUGCACCUUUUUACUCAUUCUGUAUAGGAAAAACAAAUAGUAUCUUGUUUUCCUGGCAUCACACCAAACAAUUUCUUGAUGUAAGAUACAGUCUAAACAGAACAAUGGCAUGAUUUUAUGCAAAUUGUGCUGGCUCAUCUGCACUAAUUCCUAGUAGUUGUUAAGAUUUUAAAAAUAUAUGUUACUUUAUUUACCAGUCACCCCUAAUAUUUGUUUUCCGGAAUCUAACGUAUAAAACUGAGUUUAAUACAUUAUAUAUCGGUUUAUGCUAAUGUAGAGAACUGAGUUUUAAACUACUAUAGAGCCAUCAAUAGCUAAAUUCUAUGGUAUAACUUCAGAGACUUGGAUAACACAGGCCUUUUAACCUUUAGCCAACACUUUAUAGCACAGGCUAUAAAUUAGGAAGGAAUUUGACUUUUAGUGGCUUCAUAUUACAGUCUAUCAGGACAGUGUGGAAACAGGAGCUAUUUCUAUUAGCAUAGUAAUGAAACAUUUUUUCCAGAGAUAGUGAAUGAAAUCAACCCACUAAUUAGAUUUUAUGUGUAAUAUUUGAUGGUCAACAUUACUCAAAAGAGAUAGCAAAAGCUUACAUUUAAUGCAGCCAGUAUUCUCGUUUGUAUUGGACAAGGAAAAAGAAAGAGAAGAUAGCAUAAGCCACCAUGACAGUAGUGCAUUUCAGACCAAAAUCAUGUGCAUCUCACCUUUUCACUUCCAUUAUGCAGAUCUGAAAAGGAAAAAAAACACCAUAGAGGAGAAAAGAAAUAAUUCUCAACACAGCAUGUUAUUCAUCACUUCAUUCAGAAAAGGUCAUGCACAUGAUUAUAGAGGUAGAACAUACGCGUACAUCAGCUAUUAUAUACCUACAUUUAGGUAAGAAGUGUAAUAUUUUGUAUCUCACACACAUAUAUGUUAGUUUGUUUAUGGCCCUGCUUCAAAAGGUAAUGAAACAACCUGAAAUCCUGAGAAUAUUGUUUCCAACAUUCUAACAGUGUCCUCUGGCAUAUUUGCUGAAACUCAGUUGCCCUGAGAUAUGGCCACAAGGCUGGUGAGACCAGUGGCACUGAUUCAACAGAAUUUGAUUUCUGGCUGCUUUUGUUCAGACUAUCAAACCAAGUCCAAUAGUAAGAAUAUCUAGCUAGGGAACAUUAAUACUCUUGCAUUUUAUAUAAACCAAUAUAAGAGUAGUACUAAACCUUUUAGUAAGAGGGAUUCUGUAUUCAUGAAAGCAAUGUUGAUUCAUUCUGUUCUGUAGCAUCUCAAAUGCAUAUCUAGAAUUACCAAAGAGCAUGUCUUUUCUAUAACAUAUGUAUAAAUACUUUUACUAUAAUUUAUUCUUUUCUACUUUUAUAUUCCUUUUCUUACCUUCUUCCCCUCUACAUAUCUAGUACCUUUAAUAGCUCUUGCUCUGUCUCUCAUGUACUUAUCAUGACUCCAUAACACAAGUAGAUUUUCUUUCCUGCUUGCAAAAUUAUUGCAUAAUUUAGUAUUCAAUUCAAGGAUUUUCAGAGGAAUUUACUGUAUGAUUUUUAACAUAAUAAAAUUCAUAAAAAUAAUGUAUAGAAGUAUGCUUCAAUGAAAAAUAAAAAAAUAAUUGUUUCAUUCAUGUGAGUAACAAGGAGAGGUUGAAAAGGAAACAUUCUUUUAACAGAAAAUCUCUGAUUAUGCAGCUGUAGAAAGAAAAGGUAAUUGACAUUUACUCACUCUCAUAUAGAGACUAAAUGACUGCUUUCAUCAUAUCUCUUUUGCACAGUAUUUAAACUCUAAGUGGAAAUAGCUUUUGACAAAUUGCAAGUAACUCAGCAAAUAUAUUAAUAGUAAUUUAUGUGAAUUUUGUAUAAUAUAAUUUAUGCCAAGAUUGCUGAAAUUUUGUCAGAUCAUCACUCUAUGAAAGUACGGAAUAAUAUAUUGACCUCCUCAAGUAAAAAACUUUAAAUAGAGCUUAUCUGGCAUUUUUUUUCUCAUUAUAGAAUAAGCAGCUGCAUUAACUGCUUACCAAAGAUUCAUAAUAUAUUGCUCUUCUACUUUAUUCAGCUCUUGAGUAGAAAUCAUUCCAAAACACAACCUUACAUGUAAACAGUCUCACACUGUUCAUAAUUCUGUUGUAUAAACAGAUUUUCACCUACAUAAACAGAUACAAACAACACCAAAUACUCUCAUAUUGUGGGGGGUUGAACACUGUGGAUUUCAAUCUAAAUACUAUACCUUCAGCAUGCUCCAUAAUCAAGGUGAAUUGACUGAAUUACAUAAAUAUUUUUCUCUUUGUGUGUGCUCUUCAUAGUUGUCUAAGACUUCCAUGACAGAGUCAACAUCUACAGAGAAAUGUGUCAUAGCUACAGAAAAACUACUUUAUAUAUGUAAUGUUCUAUUUAAUUUAAUAUCUAGAAGAUGACAGAACAUUUUGAAAUCUUCUUAAUACAAAAUGAGAAACAAUCCAAAUAUUGCUCUAGAAAAAAUUGUUCACAUUUUUUCCCUUUUUCGUAUAUAUGUAAAACUAAUUCUGUCCCCACUAUAUUCCCCUUUCAGCACUAUAACCCUAUGUUUCAAUGAUAAAGUAUUAAGUUUGGCAUUUCAUUGUUUUUACAGUAUGGAAAAUAGGGAAUAUUCAUUCCUAUUCAUUGUAUCCAUGACUUUUUAUGAUUCCAGAGUCAUCUAUCAUAUUCACUCUUUAUUUUAUUGUUAUUAUUAUUUAUUUAUUAUUUUAUAUUUGCAAAACUGAAGAGUACAAAACAGUUUAAGUCCCGUCUUUCUCAGAAGCGAGUCUGCAAUUCUGAUGAUCUUCAAUUGCCCCACACAGACUGUAACUGGUGACUUUUCCCCAGACCUCAGGUGAGCAAGCUAGCACAUCAUAGUCUUUACUGCAAUCACAAAGCUUCUAUAUAACUAUGACAUUGGUAAUAGAAUUCCCUGUAACUGUGGGUUGUUUAUUGGGCAGGUCCCUAUUUGUAAUUGGGUAUUUUUGGCACCAGAAUGUUAAAUAUCAAGAUUUGGGAGAGAGAGGGGAAAGAACAGUAGAGAAACCCUCUCAGCAAUGGAAUUACUUUCACCUUAUCUUUUUUUCUCCUUCUCUUUUUUAUUUACAUGUUCUAUUUACCUGAAGGUAAGAUUGCCCUAUGACUUUUUUCUACCGCUUGUAUAUUGAUUUUUUUCAGGUUACCCUGUUUGGUCUUAAGAGACUUGAUAAUAUGUAAAUAAGUAACAAAAUUUUUUUCUCUCUAGUGUAGCUUUAUUGUUUGUUUUUAUUUGUUUGUUUGGUUAGUCGGUCUUUAAUACAGUUAUUGCAAAUACUUAGAAAAAUAGAGUUUGCAAUGAUAUUUGUCAUCCACUCUCCCAGAGGUAUUGUGUGAGAUGUACCCCUUAAAUUCAGGUCAGUGUAGAUUUAGGUUGGAUUGAUGAAAAGAGAUUGCUAAUUAAAAUAUGUAGAUUCCACCAGGGACCAGUGUAUUUUGAGACACAAAGUGUAAUUUUCAAAUAGCGAUGACUGCAAUCUCAAAAAGACUUUUCAUUGACUUUUCUCCUGCAGUCUUCCAUUAUUUUCAGUUCCCCCACACCAGAGUAGCAGCUACACUAAUAAAUUAAAAACCUAAAUUCUGGGAUGAAAAGUAGUUUAUUUCACUUCAAAAGGUGGUCACAUUACAAAACAAAAUGAAACCAAAACAAUAAAAUGUAGUGAGACUGUGAUUCUUAAAAUAAGUACAAAAAAUUUUUUACAACUCCAGUAAAAUUCCAAACAGUAAUUUUCACCUCUUUUUACUGAAAAGUGAGCCCUUCUACAACAUCUGUAUUGACCAGGCUAGUACAAUACUUUGUAAAAAUAAAAUUACAUACCAUGGAAGUCAGGAUUCUUUCACUGUGGAUCAAAGCUAUGUUUUAAUACAACAGAGAGCACUAAAAUACUCUCUCUUACAGCAUAGGCUGCCAGUACCUUUAAAAAAAUUUCUAUCAAGUUCACGGAUUUAAAAAAAGAGCUAACAUUCAGUUUUGGUGAAUAAACAGAUAUUUCUGAAUGGAAUUCAGUGAUCUUUCUGUAAUAUGACAGUUAGCUUGAAGAAGAUGAAGCUAAGUAAUCAGUUGAUCGUAGCUGAAAUUGGAACUAUAGCCCAAAACAUGUCAUGGACAUGUAUUUUGUUUAUGUUCGGUGGGCCUACAAAUGUUUCCCUAUAUUUUCAAUCAAACAGCAGUUUUUCUUGCAAGAUCUGAAUUGAAUAUUGGGCAUUGCAAAACAAUAAUUUUAAAAAAGAUAUAUAAAAUAGAUGCCUUUAUUGAACUUGAAUGGCUUGAAUUGGUGUUAUCACCUGUCCCUAUCUGCAUUAUUAACUUUUUUUAAGCUCUAAUACUUUUUUUUUGUCUUAAACUUUCAGCAUCCUGAAUUUUUUUCAGUCUAGCUGCAAGCUUUCAUCUGAUUGAUAAAUUGAAUGAAGCAGUAUUUUCAUGAAAGAUUUGACUUCUGUUGACAAAACUUGUCCUUGAAAAAUUGCUAUAUAAAAUCAUUCAAAAAGUUAAAUUCUUCCAUUUGAAGUGCCAUGACAUCAGUUAAAGGGACCAUUUCAAUCUUUCACUGUUGCAACAAAUGUUUAUCGUCCUCUUUGCAAGAUAAUUUUCUGAAGAUAAAACAAGUUUUCUUCAACAAAAAAAUUCAGCUUCUCAGAGACAACGUGCUGGUGCUUAUUGACUUCCUACUUACACUCUUUGUAUCUUGGGAUAUAAUAAAAUUUUUCAUUUUAUGAUUUAGAGCCCUUUAGAAAAAGUAUUAUCUCUAAAUUAGUUAUAUAAUAAUGUGUAUAUUAAACUGUAAUAUAGCUUAUUGCAUUUAUUUUGCUAUAUCUGUACCUUAGUCUUUUAAUCUCUAGGUCUCAUACUUCUGGCUUAUAACAUACUGUGGUGGUUUGAGCCGCCCUCCCGGGAGGGGGGCCUGGAAGUGGUUGGUCCCAGGUGAGUUUCCGGUGAGGGGCCAAUUGGAGCUGUUUUUCGCCGCUGUGAAAUUAGGAAGGAAGUUGUUGGC